ensembl:lncRNA
CUCACAGAGGACCCUGAGGCUGAGAGGUGAAGUCACUUGCCUGAGGACACAUAGGAGGGUGGUGAUCCACCGUGUGGAAAGCCCUGAGAACGCCAUGGCUAGAAUCCAUCUCCCGGGAGCACCCAGGCUCCAGAGGAAGAAGCUGGACUCCACCGAUGUUCAUCCCCUAGAUGCGCUGUAACAAGGCUCCCAGAAGGUCAAGGCCAGAACUCCGGGCCUGGGCUGCCUCGCUCUGACCACAUUUCCAAGCACAAAUUGCACCCUGACCCCGUCGUCCCCAAACCCUACAUGCUGGGAGAUGGAGUCACGUCAAGGCCAUGAUAUGUGGACCAGCCUUUCCAU